GUGAUACCAGGGCCAAGCAGGGUGCGAGGGUCAGCGCAGCCCGCCCCACUCCCUCUCCCGGUACGUCGCAGGGGUCUUGGGAGCGACACGCAGUGCUGGGGGGCUGCUCCCCAGCCUGAGGAGCGACAGUAGGUAUAUCUGGAUUUCUUUAACAACCACUUGAACUUCCUGCAGUACUUUGUUCCAGAUCCACCACUUGCUCCGACAAGCAUCAAUCACACACCAGUUCUGAUGCUCCUUCUUAUAACUCCUUGUAUGUCCCUCCAGUUUUAGUAACAAAAGAAGGGAUAACGAUGCAUCCAGCAAUGCUGCAUUCACACAGCACCACCUGCCUGACUUGCUCACCAACUUGAUGGUAUGGAAAAAUACUCAAGACGUGGAGGAAGAAGACGGUCAAGAACAUCACUUUCUUCUACUUGAAUAAAAACUGCAACAUCAGGACAGAGACCUCGUGUUGACAAAUACUGGGCUUCAUCUAAAUUACGAGGGAAACCGUCCAGUAUGAAUCCUG